rnacentral:misc_RNA from 1 species
GGAAACCAGUUUUCUGAAGUGUUUCAACACAAGAAGUUCUAAAUCUUGAAGUUUUCGAAGUGUUGGGAAACUUUAGAAACUAGUUUUCUGAAGUAUUUCAUCACAAGGGGCUCUAAACCCUGAAGAUUUUCAUUUUCAGUGCCUGCACAUUACCCUGUGAAACCAUCUUCACUCCAUCUCAUUUCCACCGCUCAAGUAUCUGUGCAUUACCCCUCCCAGUCCAACUUCGUUCCGAUCCAUCUCCAUUACCUCAGGUAAGUUCAAGUCCUUUGGCUGUCAACUUUCACCUCUCCAAGAGUUGUGGAUACCGGAGUCAGCUCGCCUGUCUCCUCAACUUUCCACAGGUAAGCGCCUAAACUGUUAUUUUGCUGAAUAUCUUUGGUUUGUUUUCCCCAGUUUUUUUUUUAAGUUUCUUUUAUAUCCAGUCACAUUAAA